rnacentral:rRNA from 1 species
AACGAACGCUGGCGGCAUGCCUAACACAUGCAAGUCGAACGAGACCUUCGGGUCUAGUGGCGCACGGGUGCGUAACGCGUGGGAACCUGCCCUUAGGUUCGGAAUAACUCAGAGAAAUUUGAGCUAAUACCGGAUAAUGUCUUCGGACCAAAGAUUUAUCGCCUUUGGAUGGGCCCGCGUAGGAUUAGCUUGUUGGUGGGGUAAUGGCCUACCAAGGCGACGAUCCUUAGCUGGUCUGAGAGGAUGAUCAGCCACACUGGGACUGAGACACGGCCCAGACUCCUACGGGAGGCAGCAGUGGGGAAUAUUGGACAAUGGGCGAAAGGCUGAUCCAGCAAUGCCGCGUGAGUGAUGAAGGCCUUAGGGUUGUAAAGCUCUUUUACCAGGGAUGAUAAUGACAGUACCUGGAGAAUAAGCGCCGGCUAACUCCGUG